CUGCCACAGCCAUAUCACCCUGCAGCCCAAGAUUGGUUACUCACUGAAGCUAAGCAGGGCUGAGCCUGGUCAGUACCUGGAUGGGAGACCACAUGGGAAAACUAGGUUGCUUGGUAGU
rnacentral:rRNA from 1 species